AGCGUACACGGUGGAUGCCCUGGCAGUCAGAGGCGAUGAAGGACGUGCUAAUCUGCGAUAAGCGUCGGUAAGGUGAUAUGAACCGUUAUAACCGGCGAUUUCCGAAUGGGGAAACCCAGUGUGUUUCGACACACUAUCAUUAACUGAAUCCAUAGGUUAAUGAGGCGAACCGGGGGAACUGAAACAUCUAAGUACCCCGAGGAAAAGAAAUCAACCGAGAUUCCCCCAGUAGCGGCGAGCGAACGGGGAGCAGCCCAGAGCCUGAAUCAGUGUGUGUGUUAGUGGAAGCGUCUGGAAAGGCGCGCGAUACAGGGUGACAGCCCCGUACACAAAAAUGCACAUGCUGUGAGCUCGAUGAGUAGGGCGGGACACGUGGUAUCCUGUCUGAAUAUGGGGGGACCAUCCUCCAAGGCUAAAUACUCCUGACUGACCGAUAGUGAACCAGUACCGUGAGGGAAAGGCGAAAAGAACCCCGGCGAGGGGAGUGAAAAAGAACCUGAAACCGUGUACGUACAAGCAGUGGGAGCACGCUUAGGCGUGUGACUGCGUACCUUUUGUAUAAUGGGUCAGCGACUUAUAUUCUGUAGCAAGGUUAACCGAAUAGGGGAGCCGAAGGGAAACCGAGUCUUAACUGGGCGUUAAGUUGCAGGGUAUAGACCCGAAACCCGGUGAUCUAGCCAUGGGCAGGUUGAAGGUUGGGUAACACUAACUGGAGGACCGAACCGACUAAUGUUGAAAAAUUAGCGGAUGACUUGUGGCUGGGGGUGAAAGGCCAAUCAAACCGGGAGAUAGCUGGUUCUCCCCGAAAGCUAUUUAGGUAGCGCCUCGUGAAUUCAUCUCCGGGGGUAGAGCACUGUUUCGGCAAGGGGGUCAUCCCGACUUACCAACCCGAUGCAAACUGCGAAUACCGGAGAAUGUUAUCACGGGAGACACACGGCGGGUGCUAACGUCCGUCGUGAAGAGGGAAACAACCCAGACCGCCAGCUAAGGUCCCAAAGUCAUGGUUAAGUGGGAAACGAUGUGGGAAGGCCCAGACAGCCAGGAUGUUGGCUUAGAAGCAGCCAUCAUUUAAAGAAAGCGUAAUAGCUCACUGGUCGAGUCGGCCUGCGCGGAAGAUGUAACGGGGCUAAACCAUGCACCGAAGCUGCGGCAGCGACACUAUGUGUUGUUGGGUAGGGGAGCGUUCUGUAAGCCUGUGAAGGUGUGCUGUGAGGCAUGCUGGAGGUAUCAGAAGUGCGAAUGCUGACAUAAGUAACGAUAAAGCGGGUGAAAAGCCCGCUCGCCGGAAGACCAAGGGUUCCUGUCCAACGUUAAUCGGGGCAGGGUGAGUCGACCCCUAAGGCGAGGCCGAAAGGCGUAGUCGAUGGGAAACAGGUUAAUAUUCCUGUACUUGGUGUUACUGCGAAGGGGGGACGGAGAAGGCUAUGUUGGCCGGGCGACGGUUGUCCCGGUUUAAGCGUGUAGGCUGGUUUUCCAGGCAAAUCCGGAAAAUCAAGGCUGAGGCGUGAUGACGAGGCACUACGGUGCUGAAGCAACAAAUGCCCUGCUUCCAGGAAAAGCCUCUAAGCAUCAGGUAACAUCAAAUCGUACCCCAAACCGACACAGGUGGUCAGGUAGAGAAUACCAAGGCGCUUGAGAGAACUCGGGUGAAGGAACUAGGCAAAAUGGUGCCGUAACUUCGGGAGAAGGCACGCUGAUAUGUAGGUGAAGUCCCUCGCGGAUGGAGCUGAAAUCAGUCGAAGAUACCAGCUGGCUGCAACUGUUUAUUAAAAACACAGCACUGUGCAAACACGAAAGUGGACGUAUACGGUGUGACGCCUGCCCGGUGCCGGAAGGUUAAUUGAUGGGGUUAGCGCAAGCGAAGCUCUUGAUCGAAGCCCCGGUAAACGGCGGCCGUAACUAUAACGGUCCUAAGGUAGCGAAAUUCCUUGUCGGGUAAGUUCCGACCUGCACGAAUGGCGUAAUGAUGGCCAGGCUGUCUCCACCCGAGACUCAGUGAAAUUGAACUCGCUGUGAAGAUGCAGUGUACCCGCGGCAAGACGGAAAGACCCCGUGAACCUUUACUAUAGCUUGACACUGAACAUUGAGCCUUGAUGUGUAGGAUAGGUGGGAGGCUUAGAAGUGUGGACGCCAGUCUGCAUGGAGCCGACCUUGAAAUACCACCCUUUAAUGUUUGAUGUUCUAACGUUGACCCGUAAUCCGGGUUGCGGACAGUGUCUGGUGGGUAGUUUGACUGGGGCGGUCUCCUCCUAAAGAGUAACGGAGGAGCACGAAGGUUGGCUAAUCCUGGUCGGACAUCAGGAGGUUAGUGCAAUGGCAUAAGCCAGCUUGACUGCGAGCGUGACGGCGCGAGCAGGUGCGAAAGCAGGUCAUAGUGAUCCGGUGGUUCUGAAUGGAAGGGCCAUCGCUCAACGGAUAAAAGGUACUCCGGGGAUAACAGGCUGAUACCGCCCAAGAGUUCAUAUCGACGGCGGUGUUUGGCACCUCGAUGUCGGCUCAUCACAUCCUGGGGCUGAAGUAGGUCCCAAGGGUAUGGCUGUUCGCCAUUUAAAGUGGUACGCGAGCUGGGUUUAGAACGUCGUGAGACAGUUCGGUCCCUAUCUGCCGUGGGCGCUGGAGAACUGAGGGGGGCUGCUCCUAGUACGAGAGGACCGGAGUGGACGCAUCACUGGUGUUCGGGUUGUCAUGCCAAUGGCACUGCCCGGUAGCUAAAUGCGGAAGAGAUAAGUGCUGAAAGCAUCUAAGCACGAAACUUGCCCCGAGAUGAGUUCU
rnacentral:rRNA from 1 species